CAGUGAGUUUAGCCUUUCCUUGAACGGAGUGUUUGGACUCUACUGUACAUCAUGUAGCCCUGUGGGAUUGUGUGGCAUUUUCCUUCCAUUUAGCCUUUCAGGAAACACCAAUGACCCCCACAAGCCAGGAUUGCUCUCAUCCCGAACUAAGAUGACGAUCUACCAAUAUUUUCCCAAAACCAGACAUGGCCACCCCACAAGGCAGCUCAGGUGAGAAGAAGUAAAAGAGUCAGUUGUCCUUUUGUGUUUGGGAAGGACACUCACACAGGAGGGGCCAGGCUUGUGAGCCAGCGCAGUGUUGGCAACCAGGCCCAAACGUAUGCUUGACGUCGGGCAGCCGGAGAGACUGUGUGGGGUUAGCAUCAUCAGCACUUCUAUCUCAUAUCUUCAGAGAGCAGUUUUCCUGACUGUGAGGGGGAUGGAAGAUGCCUGUAUUUUUCCCUGCUCUUUGACCUGACCUCAAGCCUCCAGUGAAACAGUGGUCUCUCCUUCUCACUCACAUAGCCUCAGUAGGUCACGUAGC